rnacentral:rRNA from 1 species
UACGGAGGAUGCAAGCGUUAUCCGGAAUGAUUGGGCGUAAAGCGUCCGCAGGUUGCGAUGUAAGUCUGCUGUUAAAGAGUCUAGCUCAACUAGAUAAGAGCAGUGGAAACUACAUAGCUAGAGUACGUUCGGGGCAGAGGGAAUUCCUGGUGUAGCGGUGAAAUGCGUAGAGAUCAGGAAGAACACCAGUGGCGAAGGCGCUCUGCUAGGCCGUAACUGACACUGAGGGACGAAAGCUAGGGGAGCGAAUGGG